AGUCGAGCGGUAGAAGUAGCUUGCUACUUUUGAGAGCGGCGGACGGGCCGAGUAAUGCGUGGGAAUCUACCUGGUAGUGGGGGACAACAGUUGGAAACGACUGCUAAUACCGCAUACGCCCUACGGGGGAAAGCGGGGGAUCUUCGGACCUCGUGCUAUCAGAUGAGCCCGCGUGAGAUUAGCUAGUUGGUGGGGUAAAGGCCUACCAAGGCGACGAUCUCUAGCUGGUCUGAGAGGAUGAUCAGCCACACUGGGACUGAGACACGGCCCAGACUCCUACGGGAGGCAGCAGUGGGGAAUAUUGGACAAUGGGCGCAAGCCUGAUCCAGCCAUGCCGCGUGUGUGAAGAAGGCCUUCGGGUUGUAAAGCACUUUCAGCGAGGAGGAAAGGUUGUAGCUUAAUACCCUGCCACUUGUGACUUUACUCGCAAAAAAAAGCACCGGUUAACUUCCGUGGCCAGCAGCCGCGGUUAAUACGGAGGGGGGCAAACGUUUAUCCGGAAUUAUGUGGCCGUAAAACCCGCG
rnacentral:rRNA from 1 species